rnacentral:rRNA from 1 species
AUUGCCUCAGUAACGGCGAGUGAAGCGGCAACAGCUCAAAUUUGAAAUCUGGCCCCAGGCCCGAGUUGUAAUUUGUAGAGGAUGCUUUUGGUGCGGUACUUUCCGAGUUUCCCUGGAACGGGACGCCUUAGAGGGUGAGAGCCCCGUACGGUUGGAUACCUAGCCUCUGUAAAGCUCCUUCGACGAGUCGAGUAGUUUGGGAAUGCUGCUCAAAAUGGGAGGUAAAUUUCUUCUAAAGCUAAAUACCGGCCAGAGACCGAUAGCGCACAAGUAGAGUGAUCGAAAGAUGAAAAGCACUUUGAAAAGAGGGUUAAAUAGCACGUGAAAUUGUUGAAAGGGAAGGACUUAUGACCAGACUUUUUCUAGGCGGAUCAUCCGGUGUUCUCACCGGUGCACUUCGCCUAGUUAAGGCCAGCAUCGGUUUCCGUAGAGGGAUAAAAGCAGUAGGAAUGUGGCUCCCUCGGGAGUGUUAUAACCUAUUGUAUAAUACCUUUAUGGGGACCGAGGUUCGCGCUUCGGCAAGGAUGCUGGCAUAAUGGUCAUCAGUCACCCGUCUUGAAACACGGACCAAGGAGUCGAACAUUUAUGCGAGUGUUUGGGUGUUAAACCCUCACGCGUAAUGAAAGUGAACGGAGGUGAGAGCCUUAGGGUGCAUCAUCGACCGAUCCUGAAGUCUUCGGAUGGAUUUGAGUAAGAGCAUAACUGUUCGGACCCGAAAGAUGGUGAACUAUGCGUGGAUAGGGUGAAGCCAGAGGAAACUCUGGUGGAGGCUCGCAGCGGUUCUGACGUGCAAAUCGAUCGUCAAAUCUGCGCAUGGGGGCGAAAGACUAAU